rnacentral:rRNA from 1 species
AUUGAACGCUGGCGGCAGGCCUAACACAUGCAAGUCGAGCGGAUGAAGGGAGCUUGCUCCUGGAUUCAGCGGCGGACGGGUGAGUAAUGCAUAGGAAUCUGCCUGGCAGUGGGGGAUAACGUCCGGAAACGGGCGCUAAUACCGCAUACGUCCUGAGGGAGAAAGUGGGGGAUCUUCGGACCUCACGCUAUCAGAUGAGCCUAGGUCGGAUUAGCUAGUUGGUGGGGUAAAGGCCUACCAAGGCGACGAUCCGUAACUGGUCUGAGAGGAUGAUCAGUCACACUGGAACUGAGACACGGUCCAGACUCCUACGGGAGGCAGCAGUGGGGAAUAUUGGACAAUGGGCGAAAGCCUGAUCCAGCCAUGCCGCGUGUGUGAAGAAGGUCUUCGGAUUGUAAAGCCCUUUUAGUUGGGAGGAAGGGCAGUAAGUUAAUACCUUGCUGUUUUGACGUUACCAACAGAAUAAGCACCGGCUAACUUCGUG